AUGGAUGACUCUACCCUCCCUCCGCCUGUCUUGACCAUCUUCCCUCCGUCCAGCGAUGAGUUGAAGUCCAGCAAAGUCACCCUGGUGUGUCUGGCCAGUCAGAUGGCCAUGGGCUACGCUGAUGUCAGCUGGACCGCGGGAGGGAAUCGGGUCACCGGCGGCAUCGCUACGAGUGGCCCGGUGCCGCAAGCCGACAAGACGUUCCAACUCAGCAGCUGUCUGACCGUUGACACGUCAGAAUGGAACCAGGACAAAGUGUUCUCAUGUAAAGUCACCGCGGGCUCCAAGUUCGCUGAGAAAGACAUCAAGAAGUCUGUAUGCAGCACUGAAUAG